rnacentral:lncRNA from 1 species
AACCACCACACAUGAUGGGGUUCUGGCCACCAACUCCCUGGUGCAAGAACCCCAUUACCGGGUUGUCCAAAAAAUUGGACAACCCAGCCUUUUAAGGACCACCUGCAAAACAAAAAAAGGGGAUCAAAAAAAAUCUUCCAGAAGCUACCUAGCCACAAGCAGGAAAAAGAAAAACACAAAAAAAAAAUAAGAGAAAAGAAAAAAAGAAGAAGAGAGAGAGAGAAGAGGAGAAGAGUGCGAUGCCCCGACAAAGAUAAAGAAGAGAAAGAGAAGGAGAAAGAAGAGAAAGAGAAGAAGGGGGGAGCGGCUAGGAGAGAAAGAAAGAAAGAAAGAGAAAGAAAGAAGAAAGAGAAAAGAAAAAGAAAGAGAGAAGAAAAGGGGAGCGGCUGGGAGA